GGGAUAUAAAAAACCGUCUCUUAACGUUUAACUAAAAACGCUAAAAACUGACUCUUAAAUAAGAUAUUUAAAAGCUGGUUUUUAGUUUUUUUAGUUAAAAACUAAGAGACGGUUUUUAUAUUUC
rfam:Brassica oleracea var. oleracea cultivar TO1000 chromosome C4, whole genome shotgun sequence